CCGGCCGGCGAAUCUCGGCGACAUCAUCCUCUUGAAAGUGAGCGAAAGCAGACUUGGAGCUCGCAGACUUCUUCAUCUUCUUCGGGAGCUUGGCGGGCACCUCGCCGGACGCCGGCUUGGUGUCCGACUUGGUCCGGCUCACAUGGUGGUCCUGCAACGGCUUCAGCUGACUGAAAACCUCCUCCAGACUGCUCUGUGUAUCACCUGCUUCUGAAAAAUCUGGAGUUUCUGGUUCUGGGUGUUCGUGUUCUUCAAAAAGGUCGUCAUCUGGGAACUCGUCGUGCUCCGGAGCUUGCUCGAAGUUGGAUUCCGGCUCAUGGGUUUUGUGCGGAGGGGCAGCGGCGGCGGGGGGCUGAGAUGGGUAGAAAUUGAUGGACUUGAGCCGCUGCAGCAGAGAAGGGGAUCUGGUCAAUGGGGGCUGUUCGAGCUCGUGGGUGUGCUUAAAAGCGUAAUGGGUAGCCUCAGUAGUUUCUGGGUGUUGCUCGAAAGUGCCGGCGUGUGGCUCCGGGGAUCUGUACUGGUAGAG
rnacentral:lncRNA from 1 species